CACGAAUUCAAAAUUUUAUAGGCCACAAAUUCAAAAUUUUUAUUGGGCACAACGUAUUUACUCAUUGCAAAUUAUUUAAUUAGUUGGACACAAUUAAUGUUUCAGUUUCAACUUCAUCAAUUGGGAGUCGCAAUCAUAAUUUUCAGAUCACAUAUCUAAUUAUUAGUCACAAAUCAACCAAACCGCCACGACUACUGCCAUGUCCACCAUAACCACCAACUGUGAAUCCCAAUUUUCAGCUCAUUGUCAAAUUAUUUGUCACAAAAUCAACUAAACAGUCUAAACUGCCACCAACUAAACCGCCAUGACCAUCGCCAAUCCACCAGAACCUCAGAGCAUCACAAACACCACAUCUACCACUGGAUAGCGACCAGAUCGUGACCAAACUUUCCCCAUAUCGCAACCAACAAAACUCUUCCCAAAACCACACACCUCUACAGAUUUGCAGAUCGGUCGGCGACGAGAGCUACCCUGGUGCUCCCCACAUUUCCAUUCCACUUGGACCUGCCAAGCUACAUAUUAGGGGGAAAAAAUCAUUUGGAAUCAUUUUAAACAGAUAAUGGACGACAGACGCCAAAUCAACGCCACCACAGCCGCCACCGCACACCAACACCAACACCACAGUUGCUACUGCACACCAACACCACAGAUCGGUUGGCGACGCUGCAACGAACUCCGUCACAGAUUCACGAUCGCCACGGAUCGACGCUGUGAAUGGUUAGCUUGGUGCCAUAUUUGAUUUUUGAUCUUAGAUUUUUAGGUGAUUGGUUCAUUAUCAGUUGGGGCGGCUGGGAAGGGCUAUCUGAGAGAAGACAAAGAGGGAAAGAGAAAAUGGCAGGAGAAAUAAUGGAAAGAGAAGGAGAUUGGAGGCGAUCUUAGAGAAGAAGAAGAGGGAGAGAGAAAAUGACUGGGAGAAAUAAUGGAGAGAGAAGGAAAUUGGAAAGAGAAUAAAUUUGUGUGUGAGAGAGAGAAAACAUGUAGAAGGAGAGAUAAUGAGAUUGGAGAGAGAGG
rnacentral:lncRNA from 1 species